GUUUGGAGCAUUUUGAAACUUUUGAAAUUUUUGCUGUUUCCAUGGUAACGGUUACCAUUUCCAAAAUUCCAAAGACAGGUGCCACUUUGAAACAUGCCAUGUUACAUAUCCAUGUAGUUUCAUUGAGUUUGACCUUCCUUGUUAACGAAGUAAAUGCUACUUUAAGGUUUUCCCAUACGGUUUAAUGCUAAAGAUAUAUAGUUUCCAUGGCAAUAUAGUAGUUCCAAAGAUUCUCAAAAUCCUCUAAAACCUGUAUAUAGUGGACAUCAACAAUAUAUAAAAAUGUGAUGAUUCUAAGUUCAGACAUACUCAAAUUAUUCACCAAAAACAAAAAUUUUAUUUUUCACAUAUGUUCUGUUUCCAUGGUAACGGUGGCCAUCUUGAAAAUGCCAUACCCCGAUUGCAAAUCUGCACAUGCUGGUUAACAUUAUGAUUUAGUUCCAUAACAUUUGGUUCAUCCAAUUCCAAAAUAUAAGCUGGACAAAAAAAGUGGAAGAAAAAUAAUAAUAAGAAAAAAAAGAAACGUAGAAUAACAAUAUGUCACCCCAACUCCGUUGAGGGUGCCAUAAUAAUAAUAACUAGAAUUGCCAUUGCAAGCAAUAGCGGAUGUCACCCUGGUCCACCAAUUGCCACUAAGCGGCAGCCAUUUCGAAAUGUUAACAUUAAAUUAACUAAUUUACUUUACAAUGCAUCAGUUUGCAAAUUUUUAGAAAGUUUAAAGCAUUUUUAAAAUUUUGAUGUUUUUACUGUUUCUAUGGCAACGGCGGCCAUUUUGAAAAUUCCAAAGUCAUACUUCUGCUUCAUAUUGUACUCCCCAUAAUAUUUUACAAUGAUAUAGCCUUUAAUAGCUGUACAACACUAAUGUUCUGGAAUGUUCCAUCACAUUUUCUCAUUUUGAUGUUUUUGUCUUUGUUUCCAUGGUAACGGCAGCCAUUUUGGAAAUUUCAAAGUUGAAUGCCACAUCUAGAUUUGCCAGGCAACAUUUCUGUAAAAGUUUUAUAUAUUUUUAAAGAAUUUUCAAAUUUUUGAUAUUUUUGAUCAGUUCCUAUGGCAACAUUGUAGUUCCAAUGAAUCUCAAAAUCAUCCACAGCAU
rnacentral:lncRNA from 1 species